rnacentral:rRNA from 1 species
GAUGAACGCUGGCGGCGUGCCUAAUACAUGCAAGUCGAACGAAACUUCUUUAUCACCGAGUGCUUGCACUCACCGAUAAAGAGUUGAGUGGCGAACGGGUGAGUAACACGUGGGCAACCUGCCCAAAAGAGGGGGAUAACACUUGGAAACAGGUGCUAAUACCGCAUAACCAUAGUUACCGCAUGGUAACUAUGUAAAAGGUGGCUAUACUACCGCUUUUGGAUGGGCCCGCGGCGCAUUAGCUAGUUGGUAGGGUAAAGGCUUACCAAGGCAAUGAUGCGUAGCCGAAUUGAGAGGUUGGUCGGCCACAUUGGGACUGAGCCACGGCCCAAACUCCUACGGGAGGCAGCAGUAGGGAAUCUUCCACAGUGGGCGAAAGCCUGAUGGAGCAACGCCGCGUGGGUGACGAAGGUCUUCGGAUCGUAAAACCCUGUUGUUAGUGAAGAAAGUGCGUGAGAGUAACUGUUCACGUUUCGACGGUAUCUAACCAGAAAGCCACGGCUAACUACGUG